GGGCGGGGUGCUAUAAUGCAAGUCGAGCGGACAGAUGGGAGCUUGCUCCCUGAUGUUAGCGGCGGACGGGUGAGUAACACGUGGGUAACCUGCCUGUAAGACUGGGAUAACUCCGGGAAACCGGGGCUAAUACCGGAUGGUUGUCUGAACCGCAUGGUUCAGACAUAAAAGGUGGCUUCGGCUACCACUUACAGAUGGACCCGCGGCGCAUUAGCUAGUUGGUGAGGUAACGGCUCACCAAGGCGACGAUGCGUAGCCGACCUGAGAGGGUGAUCGGCCACACUGGGACUGAGACACGGCCCAGACUCCUACGGGAGGCAGCAGUAGGGAAUCUUCCGCAAUGGACGAAAGUCUGACGGAGCAACGCCGCGUGAGUGAUGAAGGUUUUCGGAUCGUAAAGCUCUGUUGUUAGGGAAGAACAAGUGCCGUUCAAAUAGGGCGGCACCUUGACGGUACCUAACCAGAAAGCCACGGCUAACUACGUGCCAGCAGCCGCGGUAAUACGUAGGUGGCAAGCGUUGUCCGGAAUUAUUGGGCGUAAAGGGCUCGCAGGCGGUUUCUUAAGUCUGAUGUGAAAGCCCCCGGCUCAACCGGGGAGGGUCAUUGGAAACUGGGGAACUUGAGUGCAGAAGAGGAGAGUGGAAUUCCACGUGUAGCGGUGAAAUGCGUAGAGAUGUGGAGGAACACCAGUGGCGAAGGCGACUCUCUGGUCUGUAACUGACGCUGAGGAGCGAAAGCGUGGGGAGCGAACAGGAUUAGAUACCCUGGUAGUCCACGCCGUAAACGAUGAGUGCUAAGUGUUAGGGGGUUUCCGCCCCUUAGUGCUGCAGCUAACGCAUUAAGCACUCCGCCUGGGGAGUACGGUCGCAAGACUGAAACUCAAAGGAAUUGACGGGGGCCCGCACAAGCGGUGGAACAUGGGGUUUAAUUCGAAGCAACGCGAAGAACCUUACCAGGGCUUGACAUCCUCUGACAAUCCUAAAGAUAGGACGUCCCCUCUCGGGGGAAAAAGACAGGGGGGCCUUGUUUCCC
rnacentral:rRNA from 1 species